UCUGGGUGAGAUCCAGGAAGUGAAAUGAGGUCAGUCAUGUACCAAUUUUGAAGUUUGUAUAAUAACAGUCCUAUGUGCACCUUUAUCUAUGAGUAAAUGAACUGAGUGUCAUAGUGCAUGUAUGAUCCAAUUUCACUAGAUUGUCCAUUAUUAUAACUGCUUGCCUUCUACCUUUCUAUAUUGCAUUAAUAACCAAAACUUCCUGGCAUAAAAGAAUUAUAUUGUUAUUUUUUUUCCCUUCUCUAUUCUAUUGUGCUUUAUUUAUUGCUUUUGUCCUUUUGGCCUAGUUCUCUACGUUCAUGUCUGAUGCAGGCUGAAUGGGAAGCAGAAAAUAUAUUAAGGGAAAUUCUGGAAGUCAAAAAUGGUGGCAAUUGCACCAUAUUUUACAGCAGUUAAAGCCCUUAAAAAAAAGGAGGGAGAAUUAUCAAACAUCUAUAUGAGUAUAAAUUGUGAAUCCAAUCAUCACUACAAGAAUCGUUGCAUUUUUUUGUUUUCAACAAAAAAAAACACUGGUGAGUCUGCAUAUCAAAUCAUAGAUUUUAAUGUCAGUUUAAUGAUACAAUUAGUAAUUUUCUGAUGCGAUAACUAUAAGAAUGUGAGAAAAAAUCUUUAAGUUCUGCAAGAUUUGGAUAAAUAAAACCAGUAAUUUCAUCUCCGUCUGCUAGCCCAAAGAGUCUAUAUCAUGGUGGAACUAAUUCUG
rnacentral:lncRNA from 1 species